GUGACACCUCAGAGAGACUCCCUGGACAGCCCUGCUCCUUCCCAGCCACCCACAGACCCAGAGGGACCCUGAGUCAGCCCGGAUCGUACCAUGAGCGGCGGCCUCCUGUGCUGUGUGGCCUUGUGUGUCCUCCGUGCAGGUCUGGGGAUGGCUGGCGUCACUCAGUCCCCGACAUUCCAGGUCGUGACAACAGGACAGAUGGUGACCUUGAGUUGUGCCCAGGACUUGAACCAUAACAACAUGUACUGGUACCGACAGGACCUGGGUCACGGGCUGAGGCUGCUCCAUUACUCAGUGGGUGCUGGGAUCACUGAGAAAGGAGAUGUCCCUGAUGGGUACAGCGUCUCUAGACCAGAUAUAAAGAACUUCCCCCUCACGCUGCAGUCGGCCACCCCCGCCCAGACAUCUGUGUACUUCUGUGCCAGCAGUGAACCCACAGUGCUGCACGGCCGCCUCCUCUCUGCACAGAAAGUCAGGGGGAGGCCCCGCACCCAGACUCAGGGGAGCCCUGUGCGGACUCCGACACCUUAG